rnacentral:rRNA from 1 species
UACGUAGGGUGCGAGCGUUAGUCGGAAUUACUGGGCGUAAAGCGUGCGCAGGCGGUUUUGUAAGCCAGAUGUGAAAUCCCCCGGCUUACCCGGGGACCGGCAUCCCAUACUGCUUGGCUUGAGUACGGGAGAGGAUGUGGGAAUUCCUGGUGUAGCGGUGAAAUGCGUAGAUAUCAGGAGGAACACCGGUGGCGAAGGCGCACAUCUGGCCCGAUACUGACGCUGAAGCGCGAAAGCUAGGGGAGCAAACGGG